AAACACAAACAGCACCCUCACACACAACACCCUAACAAACACACACACAGCACACUACCAGUACCCUCACACACAAACAGCACCCUCACAAGCGCACACACAAACAAACAGCACCCUCACACACACUACAUUAACAGCACCCUCACAAGCGCACACACACACACAAACACCCUCACCCACAUAGCACACUACCUGCACCCUCACACACAUCACACUAACAGCACCCUCACACAGCACACACACACACACACAACAUAGCAGUGUAUGUCUGUGUGUAUAUAUGUAUGUGUG